rnacentral:rRNA from 1 species
ACUCAAAGGAAUUGACGGGGGCCCGCACAAGCAGUGGAUUAUGUGGUUUAAUUCGAAGCAACGCGAAAAACCUUACCAGGGCUUGACAUGGAAUGGCCGGUAGUAGAGAUACUAUUUACCCUUCGGGGAACAUUCACACAGGUGGUGCAUGGUUGUCGUCAGCUCGUGUCGUGAGAUGUUGGGUUAAGUCCCGCAACGAGCGCAACCCCUAUUGUUAGUUGCUACGCGAGAGCACUCUAGCGAGACUGCCGUUGACAAAACGGAGGAAGGCGGGGACGACGUCAAAUCAUCAUGCCCCUCAUGUCCUGGGCUACACACGUAAUACAAUGGCGUUAAACAGAGGGAAGCGAAGUCGCGAGAUGGAGCAAAUCCCCAAAAGGCGUCUCAGUUCGGAUCGCAGGCUGCAACCCGCCUGCGUGAAGUCGGAAUUGCUAGUAAUCGCGGAUCAGCAAGCCGCGGUGAAUACGUUCCCGGGCCUUGUACACACCGCCCGU